rnacentral:rRNA from 1 species
UGGUGGGUAGUUUGACUGGGGCGGUCUCCUCCUAAAGAGUAACGGAGGAGCACGAAGGUUGGCUAAUCCUGGUCGGACAUCAGGAGGUUAGUGCAAUGGCAUAAGCCAGCUUGACUGCGAGCGUGACGGCGCGAGCAGGUGCGAAAGCAGGUCAUAGUGAUCCGGUGGUUCUGAAUGGAAGGGCCAUCGCUCAACGGAUAAAAGGUACUCCGGGGAUAACAGGCUGAUACCGCCCAAGAGUUCAUAUCGACGGCGGUGUUUGGCACCUCGAUGUCGGCUCAUCACAUCCUGGGGCUGAAGUAGGUCCCAAGGGUAUGGCUGUUCGCCAUUUAAAGUGGUACGCGAGCUGGGUUUAGAACGUCGUGAGACAGUUCGGUCCCUAUCUGCCGUGGGCGCUGGAGAACUGAGGGGGGCUGCUCCUAGUACGAGAGGACCGGAGUGGACGCAUCACUGGUGUUCGGGUUGUCAUGCCAAUGGCACUGCCCGGUAGCUAAAUGCGGAAGAGAUAAGUGCUGAAAGCAUCUAAGCACGAAACUUGCCCCGAGAUGAGUUCUCCCUGACUCCUUGAGGGUCCUGAAGGAACGUUGAAGACGACGACGUUGAUAGGCCGGGUGUGUAAGCGCAGCGAUGCGUUGAGCUAACCGGUACUAAUGAACCGUGAGGCUUAACCUUACAAC